AUUGAACGCUGGCGGCAUGCUUUACACAUGCAAGUCGAACGGUAACAGGCCUUCGUGUGCUGACUAGUGGCGAACGGGUGAGUAAUGCAUCGGAACGUACCCAGAGGUUGGGGAUAACGCAUCGAAAGCUGUGCUAAUACCUCAUUUGAUCUGAGGAUGAAAGCGGGGGACCGAGCAGCAAUGUUUGGCCUCGCGCCUUUGGAGCGGCCGAUGUCGGAUUAGCUAGUUGGUGGGGUAAAGGCCUACCAAGGCGACGAUCCGUAGCUGGUCUGAGAGGACGACCAGCCACACUGGGACUGAGACACGGCCCAGACUCCUACGGGAGGCAGCAGUGGGGAAUUUUGGACAAUGGGCGCAAGCCUGAUCCAGCAAUGCCGCGUGAGGGAAGAAGGCCUUCGGGUUGUAAACCGCUUUUGGCAGGAACGAAACGGUGUCCGCUAAUACAGGGCGCUAAUGACGGUACCUGCAGAAUAAGCAACGGCUAACUACGUG
rnacentral:rRNA from 1 species